CAAACCGUUUGACGAUGCCCUUGGUGUGUGCCCGGCGGUGCCCCUCUCCGCCAAAAAAAGCGAAUUUUCAACGUCCCCAGUCAAAAACACGUGUCUGCGUCUCGUCAUCGCGCCGAUU
ensembl:ncRNA Y66A7AL.7 ncRNA